rnacentral:rRNA from 1 species
AUACGUAGGGGGCGAGCGUUGUCCGGAAUGAUUGGGCGUAAAGGGCGCGUAGGCGGCCCGGUAAGUCUGGAGUGAAAGUCCUGUUUUUAAGAUGGGAAUUGCUUUGGAUACUGUCGGGCUUGAGUGCAGGGGAGGUAAGUGGAAUUCCGAGUGUAGCGGUGAAAUGCGUAGAGAUUGGGAGGAACACCAGUGGCGAAGGCGACUUACUGGACUGUAACUGACGCUGAGGCGCGAAAGUGUGGGGAGCAAACAGGAUUAGAUACCCUGGUAGUCCACACUGUAAACGAUGAAUGCUAGGUGUAGGGGGUAUCGACCCCUUCUGUGCCGCAGUCAACACAAUAAGCAUUCCGCCUGGGGAGUACGGCCGCAAGGUUGAAACUCAAAUGAAUUGACGGGG